GAUGAACGCUGGCGGCGUGCCUAAUACAUGCAAGUCGAGCGAACGGACGAGAAGCUUGCUUCUCUGAUGUUAGCGGCGGACGGGUGAGUAACACGUGGAUAACCUACCUAUAAGACUGGGAUAACUUCGGGAAACCGUAGCUAAUACCGGAUAAUAUUUUGAACCGCAUGGUUCAAAAGUGAAAGACGGUCUUGCUGUCACUUAUAGAUGGAUCCGCGCUGCAUUAGCUAGUUGGUAAGGUAACGGCUUACCAAGGCAACGAUGCAUAGCCGACCUGAGAGGGUGACCGGCCACACUGAACUGAGACACGGUCCAGACUCCUACGGGAGGCAGCAGUAGGGAAUCUUCCGCAAUGGGCGAAAGCCUGACGGAGCAACGCCGCGUGAGUGAUGAAGGUCUUCGGAUCGUAAAACUCUGUUAUUAGGGAAGAACAUAUGUGUAAGUAACUGUGCACAUCUUGACGGUACCUAAUCAGAAAGCCACGGCUAACUACGUG
rnacentral:rRNA from 1 species